rnacentral:rRNA from 1 species
UUACCAGUUGGAAACGGCUGUUAAUACCGCAUAGUAUCUGUGGAUUAAAGGUGGCUUUUGGGCUGUCGCAGAUGGAUGAGCUGCGUUGGAUUAGCUAGUUGGUGGGGUAAGGGCCUACCAAGGCUACGAUCCAUAGCUGAUUUGAGAGGAUGAUCAGCCACAUUGGGACUGAGACACGGCCCAAACUCCUACGGGAGGCAGCAGUGAGGAAUAUUGGACAAUGGGGGCAACCCUGAUCCAGCAAUGCCAUGUGUGUGAAGAAGGCCUUAGGGUUGUAAAGCACUUUAGUUGGGGAAGAAAGCUUUGAGGUUAAUAGCCUUGAGGAAGGACGUUACCCAAAGAAUAAGCACCGGCUAACUCCGUGCCAGCAGCCGCGGUAAUACGGGGGGUGCAAGCGUUAAUCGGAAUUACUGGGCGUAAAGGGUCUGUAGGUGGUUUGUUAAGUCAGAUGUGAAAGCCCAGGGCUCAACCUUGGAACUGCAUUUGAUACUGGCAAACUAGAGUACGGUAGAGGAAUGGGGAAUUUCUGGUGUAGCGGUGAAAUGCGUAGAGAUCAGAAGGAACACCAAUGGCGAAGGCAACAUUCUGGACCGAUACUGACACUGAGGGACGAAAGCGUGGGGAUCAAACAGGAUUAGAUACCCUGGUAGUCCAUGCUGUAAACGAUGAGUACUAGCUGUUGGAGUCGGUGUAAAGGCUCUAGUGGCGCAGCUAACGCGAUAAGUACUCCGCCUGGGGACUACGGCCGCAAGGCUAAAACUCAAAGGAAUUGACGGGGACCCGCACAAGCGGUGGAGCAUGUGGUUUAAUUCGAUGCAACGCGAAGAACCUUACCUGGUCUUGACAUCCUGCGAGCUUUCUAGAGAUAGAUUGGUGCCUUCGGGAACGCAGUGACAGGUGCUGCACGGCGUUCUCUUUUUG